GGCUGCUACUUCUAUUGUUGUAACUUUGAUCAGUAAACUUUUCAGGACUGCAAGGGGAAAGUUAUGAAGCAAACAACAAAUGUUACAAGAUUCAAAAAUUUAGAGAUUAUGAAGAAAAUGUUUUCAAGCUUUCAUUGUUUCUUCUAUUGCAUUGAAAUAAAACUAGGGACAGGUCAAAGUUACAACAAUAGAAGUAGCAGCC
rnacentral:misc_RNA from 1 species